GGUAGGCAAACAGCAGCUCUGCCCACGCGCCACGGUGGUGGCGUCCGUGGCUACUACGCGCAAAGGAGGGCGGCGGCUGGGGGGUCCGGUACCCAAAGGCACCCUCUCGGAUCGCUAGAGAAGGCUUUCUCACCGAGGGCGUGUCGCCCCCGCCCAUCGUCCGCCAUCGGGCCCACCAAGGCGCUUACAGACACCAUGGCCACACAACGCAGGAGGGGUCUGCGGUAGAGGUAAGGCCUAGAGCAAGUCGGAGCGUCCGUGGUCAGGGCCGCGAGCCCGCGCUGCCCCGGGCUCACCAUCUCCGGCCACACUGGGCUUAGCUAGGGAUCUAAAAGGCCCCUGUGCGGCCCCCAAGUCAGUGCCUCCCCUCAGGCCGAGACCAAGGGAGGCAGAGACUGGGACGGAGGUGCCGAUCAAACAGCACCUCCCAACCAAAGAGCCAGCGCCACGCCGCUGGCUCGGCCCGCCACGGUCACUCCCACACCCGCGGGGAAACCCCAGCAAGGGGAACGCGCGGGCACGCGCCCGAGCCUGCCCGCCCCCACACGGCACGCCGUGGGGGGCGACGAGGGGCACGCCUCCCUUACCGACUCGACCCCCCCGCUCCUCAGACACACCAGCGCAGUGGUUACCUGAGGAGGCCGACGGGAACAGGGAACGACACCGCCACUCGGCCUCGGGCGCCUGAGGGACGACCUGGAACGCUCCAGGGGCACCGCCAACGGCCUGGGGAACGCGCUCACGCGCCCGGGAAGGCGCGCGGCGCGGCGGCACAGGCGGAGCAUCCGCCGCGUCACGGAGACCCCGACACCGCCCACGCCACGAGGCACGGGGCGGGGGAGCGAGGUCGGGCCGGAUUCCGCACCCCUGCCGCCUCCCACACGCCACUCGCAGCGGGGGAGAACGGGCGAGGGGACCCGCGGGCAGAGCGAGAAGAGCGGUCCCGUUCGCCAUGAACGUCCGUCCCUCGUCUGGCACGGCUUAGGCCCGGCCCGGGAGAGCACAGCAUCACCACAUCGGUCGGCAGCAUAACGCGAGGGACCCCCGAGCAAGGGAAGGCCGGCGAGGACAGCGAGCGGAGGAGCCUGCUUCAGCCUCACCGACCCCUCUCCUCCUCCAGCAAGCGCGGGCGACGACCCCAGGACGAGAACGCCUGACACGCACUGGCACGGAGCCGGUGGGAUGGGGUAAGUCGCGACCGCACCCGGGUGCCGGCGGCAGGGAGUGCACGUGGUAGAGGACCCCGCGCCCCUAACCCCGCCGCCCUCGGGUACCAGAGACCGGAGGUGGCACCACGGUCGUGGGGGCGCCUGGAACGCACAAGAGCCGGCGCGCAGGCCCCAGCGGGCGGCUCAAGCGGCGGGGGUGGAAACGGGCGUCCGGUUCUCGGCCAGAGCCCGGAGCCCUCCCCGCACACGCAUCCAGGCACCCGGAAGCUCUCGGGCGACUGUCACCCGAGCAGAGCGUGUCAGCACUUAUCUGGCGGCACAAAACCACCCAUUCGGGGGCAAGAAUCGCCGCGCCCGGAGACGGGGCCCACCCACGGAUCACCAGGGGAACCCCUGGAUCACGGCCACGGCCACCAGACCCCAAGCACGACCCCAUCGCCACCAGGCCCGGAGCUCCCGGGGCCAUCUGGUCGACCCCAGAAGCGUGGCGGCAGGGGGAGCCGGGGACAGCCUCCCCGGGCCGCCCGCGCGGGCCGGGACCGGUCGGUCCCUCCCUCUGAGUCGCCGGGUCAGGACUUAGAAAAGAAUUCCGCGGAGGCGCCUCCGGCGACCGGGCCCGGGGCGGGACCGUGGCUCCCGUCCCUCAGCCGGGGCUCCACCUACGCCUCGAGCCGGCCCCCUCCCGCCUCCGGACAAAGACGCGACCCGCGAAACUCGGAGAGAGAAGUCCGGUCCGACGGCCCGGACCCACCCCGGGCACGCGUCCGGGCCGGGGACGCCCUCCCCGGCCCGCCCUCGAGGGCUCCCGGGGCCGGUCCACGCUCUUCUCCAGGGCGGGACUUGGAAAAAAAAACUGCCACGGAGGAGGAGGCAUCCGAGGACCGGGCCCGGUCCCCACCGCCAGAGCCGGUCGACUCGGAAGACCAGUGGGGAAAAGGCCAGCCCGGCGGCCGAGCCCGUCGCGCCCUCCACGGGCCUCCCCCGCAAGGCCCCGGCCGGUCGCCCACCUCCGGAGCGGGGCGCGGAAAGGGGAUCGGCGACGCGGAAGGCCCGACCACCGGACCGCCCCCGGGACGACGGCCAGGCACGGGACGAACUCCCUCUCCCAUUCCCCCGCGGCGGCCCCCCACCCCCUCCCGGGGACGGAGGGGCACCGGUGGCUGCUGGUCGACCCGUCCGGGAGGCCCCACACCCCGGCCGGCACCGGGUGGCACGGCGACAGCCA
rnacentral:lncRNA from 1 species